rnacentral:rRNA from 1 species
UGGGGAAUAUUGGACAAUGGGGGGAACCCUGAUCCAGCCAUGCCGCGUGUGUGAAGAAGGCCUUAUGGUUGUAAAGCACUUUAAGCGAGGAGGAGGGUACUGGUAUUAAUACUACCAGCUACUGGACGUUACUCGCAGAAUAAGCACCGGCUAACUCUGUGCCAGCAGCCGCGGUAAUACAGAGGGUGCGAGCGUUAAUCGGAUUUACUGGGCGUAAAGCGUGCGUAGGCGGCUAAUUGAGUCGGAUGUGAAAUCCCCGAGCUUAACAUGGGAAUUGCAUUCGAUACUGGUUAGCUAGAGUGUGGGAGAGGAUGGUAGAAUUCCAGGUGUAGCGGUGAAAUGCGUAGAGAUCUGGAGGAAUAGCGAUGGCGAAGGCAGCCAUCUGGCCUAACACUGACGCUGAGGUACGAAAGCAUGGGGAGCAAACAGG